AUAUACGACCGUACCGCAAACCGACACUGGUGCGCGAGAUGAGUAUUCUAAGGCGCUUGAGAGAACUCAGGAGAAGGAACUCGGCAAAUUGACACCGUAACUUCGGAAGAAGGUGUGCCCUAUUAGUGUGUAGUGAACAACGAAGCAUGAAUGGGUUGCAAAAAAUCGGUGGCUGCGACUGUUUAUUAAAAACACAGCACUCUGCAAACACGAAAGUGGACGUAUAGGGUGUGACGCCUGCCCGGUGCUGGAAGAUUAAAUGAUGGGGUGCAAGCUCUUGAUUGAAGUCCCAGUAAACGGCGGCCGUAACGAUAACGGUCCUAAGGUAGCGAAAUUCCUUGUCGGGUAAGUUCCGACCUGCACGAAUGGCGUAACGAUGGCCACACUGUCUCCUCCUGAGACUCAGCGAAGUUGAAAUGUUUGUGAUGAUGCAAUCUCCCCGCGGAAAGACGGAAAGACCCCAUGAACCUUUACUGUAGCUUUGUAUUGGACUUUGAACAGAUCUGUGUAGGAUAGGUGGGAGGCUUUGAAGCAGGGUCGCUAGAUCUUGUGGAGCCAACGUUGAAAUACCACCCUGGUGUGUUUGAGGUUCUAACCUAGGUCCAUUAUCUGGAUCGGGGACAGUGCAUGGUAGGCAGUUUGACUGGGGCGGUCUCCUCCCAAAGCGUAACGGAGGAGUUCGAAGGUACGCUAGUUACGGUCGGACAUCGUGACGAUAGUGCAAUGGCAUAAGCGUGCUUAACUGCGAGACUGACAAGUCGAGCAGAUGCGAAAGCAGGACAUAGUGAUCCGGUGGUUCUGUAUGGAAGGGCCAUCGUUCAACGGAUAAAAGGUACUCUGGGGAUAACAGGCUGAUACCGCCCAAGAGUUCAUAUCGACGGCGGUGUUUGGCACCUCGAUGUCGGCUCAUCUCAUCCUAGGGCUGUAGCCGGUCCCAAGGGUAUGGCUGUUCGCCAUUUAAAGAGGUACGUGAGCUGGGUUUAAAACGUCGUGAGACAGUUUGGUCCCUAUCUUCCGUGGGCGCUGCAGAUUUGAGGAAGCCUGCUCCUAGUACGAGAGGACCGGAGUGGACACACCUCUGGUGUAUCGGUUGUCACGCCAGUGGCAUUGCCGAGUAGCUAAGUGUGGAAGAGAUAACCGCUGAAAGCAUCUAAGCGGGAAACUCGUUUCAAGAUGAGAUCUGCCGGGGCCUUGAGCCCCCUAAAGAGUCGUUCAAGACCAGGACGUUGAUAGGUCAGGUGUGGAAGC
rnacentral:rRNA from 1 species